CCCUUAGAUGUUCUGGGCCGCACGCGCGCUACACUGUUCGACGCAGCGAGUCUUAACCUUGACCGAAAGGUUUGGGUAAUCUUCAGCAAAGUCGAACGUGAUGGGGAUCGAUCAUUGCAAUUAUUGAUCGUGAACGAGGAAUUCCUAGUAAGUGCAAGUCAUCAGCUUGCGCUGAUUACGUCCCUGCCCUUUGUACACACCGCCCGUCGCUACUACCGAUUGAAUGGUUUAGUGAGAUCUCUGGAUUGACGCUGGCUAGGGGGCGACCCUUGACCAGACUGCUCGAGAAACUGCUCAAACUUGAUCAUUUAGAGGAAGUAAAAGUCGUAACA
rnacentral:rRNA from 1 species